GCGGGCCGGCGACGGUUGGUUAUCACUCCGAAUGAUGGUGUUGCGGGUUCGACUCCCGCCGUGCCA
rnacentral:tRNA from 1 species